AGUGAACGCUGGCGGUAGGCCUAACACAUGCAAGUCGAACGGCAGCACAGUAAGAGCUUGCUCUUACGGGUGGCGAGUGGCGGACGAGUGAGGAAUACAUCGGAAUCUACUUUUUCAUGGGGGAUAACGUAGGGAAACUUACGCUAAUACCGCAUACGACCUACGGGUGAAAGCAGGGGAUCUUCGGACCUUGCGCGAUUGAAUGAGCCGAUGUCGGAUUAGCUAGUUGGCGGGGUAAAGGCCCACCUAGGCGACGAUCCGUAGCUGGUCUGAGAGGAUGAUCAGCCACACUGGAACUGAGACACGGUCCAGACUCCUACGGGAGGCAGCAGUGGGGAAUAUUGGACAAUGGGCGCAAGCCUGAUCCAGCCAUACCGCGUGGGUGAAGAAGGCCUUCGGGUUGUAAAGCCCUUUUGUUGGGAAAGAAAAGCAGCAGGUUAAUACCCCGCUGUUCUGACGGUACCCAAAGAAUAAGCACCGGCUAACUUCGUG
rnacentral:rRNA from 1 species